rnacentral:misc_RNA from 1 species
GACGGUAUCAGUUUGCUUGAUGAAUCGAAUUUGGUAUAUUGAAUACCCUAAAAAUUCAAAACAAAACCUAUGUUAUCUUGGUAAUUGUGAAGAAAAUUCAUAGCUGGCAACUAGUGCAAUGGAAUUUUUUUCAUUGGAAAAUUGAGAUACAAUAUGUCAAGAAAACCCAUAUUUUAGAACUUUUUUAUCUGUAGAAUUGUUAUUUCUUUUUUAAAGGAGAGACAAAUUUGGAAGCUCGAUUGACUAGAGCUGGAUUUACUAGGGCUGAGGUUUUGCUUUUUGGUUUUGGUUUAUCAAUUGUAUUACUCAUUUUAGUCUCCAUAAUAUGUCCACAAGCAAUUUUAGUUGAGUGGCUGAAUGUGGUCUUAAGCAUCACUCAUCAGUUAAUUAGUUCUAAGGUCUGCAUUUAUUUGUCUAAAUGCCUUUCAGGUUCCAUUUAAAAACAGGUUCCAUUUAAAGCUUUCCUGCAUUAUUUUUGAGAAUAGUACAGAAUGAGUUCAGUUAAUGCUUAUUUUUCGUUAUUUAUCCAGAAGCAUUUGGUGAUUUCUCGAGUAUUAAAUCUUUUUAACGUCUGUCCAAGGUGGCAGACUUUUACUGCAGCUCAUUUCUAUCAUAAAAUUCUAUAAACUUCUAGGGUUUAUAAUCAUUCUAUUAAAAUAUUUGAUAAUCACCAAAUGGAUUCUUUUCAUGCAGGCAUGCAUCGCCACUUUGUUCU